CUUCCGAUGUCUGCUGCGGGCAGAUGAAGUGAAUGUGCGUAUCGAUACCGCCUGCUGUGAUGAUCUUGUUCUCUCCAGCGACGACAUCUGUGCAGCUGCCGACCACCAUGUUCGGCGU
rnacentral:ncRNA from 1 species